UACGUAGGGUGCAAGCGUUGUCCGGAAUUAUUGGGCGUAAAGAGCUCGUAGGCGGUCUGUCGCGUCGGCUGUGAAAACUCGGGGCUCAACUCCGAGCUUGCAGUCGAUACGGGCAGGCUAGAGUUCGGCAGGGGAGACUGGAAUUCCUGGUGUAGUGGUGAAAUGCGUAGAGAUCAGGAGGAACACCGGUGGCGAAGGCGGCCCACUGGGCUGUCACUGACGCUGAGGCGCGAAAGCUCGGGGAGCGAACGGG
rnacentral:rRNA from 1 species